rnacentral:rRNA from 1 species
AACGAACGCUGGCGGCAGGCCUAACACAUGCAAGUCGAACGCUCGUAGCAAUACGAGAGUGGCAGACGGGUGAGUAACACGUGGGAACCUUCCCUUUGGUUCGGAAUAGCUCAGGGAAACUUGAGGUAAUACCGGAUAAGCCCUUACGGGGAAAGAUUUAUCGCCAUAGGAUGGGCCCGCGUCGGAUUAGCUAGUUGGUGAGGUAACGGCUCACCAAGGCGACGAUCCGUAGCUGGUCUGAGAGGAUGAUCAGCCACACUGGGACUGAGA